rnacentral:sRNA from 1 species
AACUAGCCCCGAUUGUAACGUAAAUCCUUUUUCUUUUCUUUCGGAAAAGAAAAAGAUUGCAGUGGAAAGCGGGAAACAGC